UCCCAGUAACGGCGAGUGAAGCGGGAAGAGCUCAAGCUUAAAAUCUCCUUGCAGUCUCUGCUCGGCGAAUUGUAGUCUAUUGAGGCGAAGUCAGCGUGCAGGAUCCGGCCAAGUUCCUUGGAAGAGGACAGCAUGGAGGGUUACACUCCCGUCUCUGCCGGCAAAUGUGCGCGUACGACUCGUCUUCUUUGAGUCGCGUUGUUUGGGAAUGCAGCGCAAAGCAGGUGGUAAAUUCCAUCGAAAGCUAAAUACCUGUGCGAGACCGAUAGCGAACAAGUACCGUGAGGGAAAGAUGAAAAGAACUUUGAAAAGAGAGUUAAAGAGUACCUGAAACUGCUGAAAGGGAAGCGAAUCGCGUCCGCUGUCCAUUCCGCGGUCAACACAGCUUCGGCGGUUGAUGCGGAGGAGUCAAAGUCAGUUUGGUGUCGAAGGUAAAGUCGACUGUGCGCGUAGCAUGGCUGCCUUUCGGGGCUGGUCCUACGAGAAACGUUGUGCGCUGCCUCGGCCAGGACUGAGGCGAUAACAGCAAUCGUGUGUGCUCUGUAAGUUUGUGCGGAGAUCGGAUAGGCAGCCCCUACCUCCUGGUGAGAUGCGGCACUAUAAAUGAGACGCAUGUACGCGAGCGGAUGCGCACACACGCUGUUCGGGACUUUGAUCGAAUGGAGCGAUUCGGCCCGUCUUGAAACACGGACCAAGGAGUCUAACAUGUGUGCAAGUGUUUGGGUGUCAAACCCAGACGCGCAAUGAAAGUAAAGGGCUCAAGCCCGAGGUAGGAAGGUCCCGUUUGGGACUGGCACUAUCGACCGAUCACGCGCCUCCGGGCAAAAGAUUUGAGUUGGAGCACAUAUGUUGGUACCCGAAAGAUGGUGAACUAUGCCUGAGUAGGGUGAAGCCAGAGGAAACUCUGGUGGAAGCUCGAAGCA
rnacentral:rRNA from 1 species